CCUACGGGAGGCAGCAGUGAGGAAUAUUGGUCAAUGGGCGCGAGCCUGAACCAGCCAAGUAGCGUGAAGGAUGACUGCCCUACGGGUUGUAAACUUCUUUUAUAUGGGAAUAAAGUGCGGUACGUGUACUUCUUUGCAUGUACUUUAUGAAUAAGGAUCGGCUAACUCCGUGCCAGCAGCCGCGGUAAUACGGAGGAUCCGAGCGUUAUCCGGAUUUAUUGGGUUUAAAGGGAGCGUAGGCGGGUUGUUAAGUCAGUUGUGAAAGUUUGCGGCUCAACCGUAAAAUUGCAGUUGAUACUGGCGUUCUUGAGUACAGUAGAGGUAGGCGGAAUUCGUGGUGUAGCGGUGAAAUGCUUAGAUAUCACGAAGAACUCCGAUUGCGAAGGCAGCCUGCUAAACUGUCACUGACAUUGAUGCUCGAAAGUGUGGGUAUCAAACAGGAUUAGAUACCCCUGUAGUC
rnacentral:rRNA from 1 species